UUAAUAAAAAAGGGGAGCUUGCAGGAAGCAGGCUGAGAGUAGACUGUUAGGUCUUGACCCAUAACCUGAUUUGGAUAAUGCCAACGUAGGGAAAUAAAUUCACUAGUAA
rnacentral:ncRNA from 2 species